CACCACGUUGGCCAAGCUGGUCUUGAACUCCUGACCUCAGGUGAUCCACCCACCUCGGCUUCCCAAAGUGUUGGGAUUACAGGCAUGAGCCACUGUGCCCAGCCACAUCCUAACUUUUGAUAACAUGCCACAAUCUUUCUUUACUGUCCUCUCAAAGAGGUUAAAUACUAUUUUCAUAAUGAGUUAUAAUUGGGAAGUUUUCUCAUGUCAAAUAUAAAAACAAAAUCAUAUAGUUCAUCGACUCACUUAUGUUUUACCAGGCGUUUUUAUUACAAAUUAUUGUUUAGUCAACACUUUAAAGUGUGUCCUAAAUUUUCCUAAGUUUUAUUAAUAGAUGAUGAUAUUGAUGAUGAAAUGUUUGAUGAUCACCAUUUAAAGGAUUAUUUUGAACAACUGGCAAUUCCAGGAGGGAUGGAAUUAACCAUAUGAAGAUCUAGAAGGACUGGAGCCUCCAGAAAAAGAUUGGACAUUACCUGCAAGUGCUCCUAGUCAGGAAUGUUCCAGUCUUUGUGGCUUUUCCGAAAUUUGACAUUAGAAAAUCACUAUUGUUCUCAUUGGAUGUUCACAUGAAAGUUAAGCCUCUGGUUUUCUUUGGACUCCAUUUUUUCCAGGCAAAUGAAAACCACAGUUUAAACUCUAAGUUUCAAUCAGAAACUAACAGCUCCUGGAUUUCCCGUGGCUCACACUCUUCUGAAACAACUCACAAAGAGCCUGAGGAAGCAGUUCUCCCUUAUAAGUGGGCCAGUUUAUUUGUCUCCCUGGGACUAGCGGAGUCUCGCUCUGUCGCCCCGGGCUGG